AACGUAGGUACCGAGCGUUAUCCGGAUUUACUGGGCGUAAAGCGUGUUCAGGCGGCCUGGCAAGUCGGGCAUGAAAUCUCUCGGCUCAACCGAGAGAGGCUGUCCGAUACUGCUGGGCUUGAGGACGGUAGAGGGUGGUGGAAUUCCGCGUGUAGUGGUGAAAUGCGUAGAUAUGCGGAGGAACACCAGUGGCGAAGGCGGCCACCUGGACCGUCCCUGACUCUCAAACACGAAAGCUAGGGUAGCGAACGGG
rnacentral:rRNA from 1 species